GUUUGCUUUUCAUUAUACAGGAAUGGCUUCAAAUGUUCAGUGGAAGUGAACAAGUUCUCGUAUUGUUUUCUCCUAUUCUCCUUCCAGCUUCAGGGUCAUAUGUCACAGUGCCGGGCAUUUCAUUUGGGAGGACCUUGACAAUAGACUCCACCUUGGAGCAGCUGCUCUGUCCCCCGUACGAUGAUCACAGCACAUUUUCCUUGUCAGACUUGGAGUCUGCACCAGGGAGUGCUCAGGAAGGGACCGGUACAAUGUUGGGGAUCUGCCCUUGAGCCUCCAAGCCUUGCGAUGGGUGGAGACGUCACUCCAAGACACUCACAAAUCCUUUUGGCACACGCUUCAGGAAGACCAUCUGCUUUUGUUGUUCCUCUGACCUUUUGUUAGCACCCACCCUAAAUUGGAAAUAAAUUGCCAGAAGAAAUCUGAAGCCUAAA